CAUUAUUGGCAGAAUCUGGUAAGAUUGUGUUACUCUUUUGCAAGUUAUUUUUUGUUGAUCAUCUCCCUUUUUAUGGGGUGCUUAUACUAGAAUAUGAAAAGUGUUUCGCUAUUACUUUUGUUCUGACUCUCUCUCAUUAGUAAAUAUCGGAUGGACUCUUAGAUGUAAACGUUGAAAUCAGUUUGCAAUCUCUAUUGUAGCUGCAGUUUAGAUUUCAUUGAAUUUGAUUUUAUUGUUAUUUUUUUUUUCCAUUUCAUAUUGAAGUUCUACUUAUUGGUGUCGCUGUACCAUUAUUAACUUGUGAUGCUCUGCUGAUAUUGCAGAAUGAGAAUCGAACCUUG
rnacentral:misc_RNA from 1 species